UAAAACGGAUCUGGAUCUGGAUCUUGACAUUUGAGAUCCGGAUCCGACCCAGAUCCGACCCGUGGAUCCGAUUUAAUUUAAAAUAUAUUAUUUAUUUUUUAUAUUUAUUUUAUUUAUAAUAUUAGAUAUAUUUAAAAUUAAAAAAAAAAUAGAAUAACUUUGAAAACCUAAUUUCUAAUUCAUCUCUCUCUCCCCUCUCGGUUCUUCAACUUCUCACUCCUGCGCCGCCUCACUCCCAUCUCCCAUCGGCCAUCUCCUUCUCGGCCUCAGUCACGCCGCCUCACCUCCAUCGCCGGUCGCCUUCUCCACUUCGCUCGCCCGCCCGCCGCCGGAGAAAUAGGGAACAGCAGCAGCAGUGCAGCACACUCCCGACUCCAGCAUCACGA
rnacentral:lncRNA from 1 species